UACAGAGGGUGCAAGCGUUAAUCGGAAUUACUGGGCGUAAAGCGUGCGUAGACGGUUAUGUAAGUCGGGUGUGAAAGCCCCGGGCUCAACCUGGGAAUGCCAUUCGAGACUGCAUAGCUAGGGUGCGGAAGAGGGAAGCGGGAAUUUCCGGUGUAGCGGUGAAAUGCGUAGAUAUCGGAAGGAACACCAGUGGCGAAAGCGGCUUCCUGGUCCAGCACCGACGUUCAGGCACGAAAGCGUGGGGAGCAAACAGG
rnacentral:rRNA from 1 species